rnacentral:lncRNA from 10 species
CUCCGGUGAAGACUCCAAGAUGGUGAUUGCCACCUCGGAUACCCUGACUCAGCAUUUCCGGGUUCACCUUUCCUAUUCCCACCACCCCGACUAACGUGCAUGCCCACUAGGGCGUGUCACACUCAGAAGCGCGAAACUCAACCGACCCCGCCCCUACCCCACCCACUCCUCACCCAGCAUCCAUAAAAGCAUGCUGCACCUUUGGCACAGCGCGACUUCCCUGGCCCUCCCCCUGCGGACCAGUGAACCUCGCCCGAGGGCUCAAUAAAGAAGAUUUUUGCCCUCUUUUUCUCACCUCUCAGCCUUAUUGAUCCAUGGUGCCCUUCCAUUGCCUUUCAUUGGUGCCGAAACCCGGGAGGGGACACCUCCUAAGCCCCCCCAGAGGCUCAGGGGGACUCCCCUCCUGGUCGGAUCAGUCCUCUCCCUCAGUCAGGUCAGGCUUCUCCUCCACGGCCAUCUGUCCAUUUCGUCCGGUUACUUGCUGCCAGGUCGCAGUUGCUGCAGCUACUCCAGUCCAAUUCGGCCGACGCUAGAUCAACUGAGAUGCAAAACCCAUGUUCACAUCAUGAGUGAGUCUUCUAACUCGGACAAUGCAAUCAACAAAUUCUAAGACCAAAUUCCGGUGGCACUGGCUCCAAAGCUCCUGAGUGUGGAAGGAGGUGAACAGGGAAAAGCAGAGAGGACAAAAGUCACAUCCCCUCCCCACAGACCCAUACUGGGGAAGGGUGGAAGAUUUAGCUGCGAGUCAAGUUCAGAAUUUUGAUUAACAUCUUGGCAUGCACAUUCGAAUUUCAGAAUCAAGACUGUUGGCCAUAAAAAAUGACUAUAGCCUUGUGUAUUACCUGAACUGAGCAGUAAAAAAAAAGUCAUGGUCCUUCUGGGGCUUUUAUUCUGAGACAGGAACCCUGAACAGGCAGGAGAAAGGGAAUGUUGACAGAGAAACAAAGACAGUUGGCGACACACGCUGACCGCCAUGCGGACGUCCAUCAAACCCAGCACUGGCCCUGGGUACGUGCGCCUUUGCUAUUACCCCAAUACAUUUUCUUCUGCAGAGCAAGCAACAGAACACAUGCAGACCUUAAUAAAUACCACUGGGUAAUGUGACAAUGGCCAAACUCUCCUCACGGGGGAGAGAGUGUCCCCCAGUUUUGCUCCCUUUUAAUUUCCAGGGUUCAUAAGUAGCUCUAAAGCUUUGCUCUACAAGGUUGAUACAUACGAUAUUAAUGUUUCCCCUAAGCAGUAUAACAUAAAUAUAUUUGCUAUCUUGACAUUCUGGGUUUGGUUUUUCAGUGUUGGCGUAAGUGGGUUUUAUACUUUCUGGAACAAGAGUUCAUCACCAAAGGGAAAAUGCUGUCCACCCCACCCUCUUUGAAAGAAAAGGCUCAGCCCAUAGUUCUCCAGAUGAAAGAAAUGUACCUAAUCAGCUAUUUCCUGUUGCUUGAUUGGAUGUUAACAAUGGAGAUAGACACACAGCUAAUUGUGGUGGCACAGCAGGAAGCCUAAUUCACUUUGCUGUAGAAAUGCCCACACAGAGAAAGUGGGAGAUGGCUGCACAAGAGGCCCCAUAGGCAGGCAAAUGCUUACUGCAGUUUCUUUCCCAAACAUUUCCAAAUAGACCAAAUAAACAUGAAUUUGCUCACUGUAGUUUAUAUUCCAAAUAAAAAUGAAUUUCUGGCCAGGCGCGGUGGCUCAUGCCUGUAAUCCAGCACUUUCGGAGGCCAAGGCAGGUGGAUCACAAAGUCAGGAGUUUGAGACCAGCCUGGCCAAUAUGGUGAAACCCCAUCUCUACUUAAAAUACAAAAAUUAGCCUGGCGUGGUGGCAGGUGCCUGUAAUCCCAGCUACUCAAGAGGCUGAGGCUGGAAAAUCACUUGAACCUGGGAAGCAGAGGUUGCAGUGAGCUGAGAGGGUGCCAUUGCACUCUAGCCUGGGUGACAGAGCAAGACUUGGUCUCAAAAAAAAAAAAAAGAAUUUCGCCACGCUCCGCAGACACAGGCAUUCCACACCCUUGUCCAGACUGGUCCCAGGGGAAAGAAUCUCCAGGCUAAAGAGCCGUGGUCUUCCAGGGCCUCUGGCCAGGUAUCUCAAUGUCUUCACCCAUGUGAAUUCUGGACAAGGGCUUCCUACCACAUCCCCAAGUUUGCCCUUCCCCCCAUACCCUGACCUCCAUUUCUCUACUUUACCUCUCCCAGCCCACCAUGGGACCAUGUGAUCAGCCACAUAGGCAUAAACUAGCACACAGCUACCUUAGGGUAGGGCCCUCUAGGGUGGCCAGGUGGCUACCUCACAAAUCAGUCUAUGGCUCUCACAGAAACUAGAAUUUGCUUGGGCAAGAGGUAUCAAGAGCAUUAGAAAUAUUUAUACUUUUUCAUUCAGUAAUGGUAUAAUCUGAAUCUGGGCUGAGAGUCUAAGAAUAUUGAGCUGUGUGAGAAUGCACACAGCUGUUUAUUACAUUUUUUUAAGUAAUGGAAAAAUUGGCUAGAAUUUAAAUAUACACCAGUAGGGUAGAUGUUUAAUAAACUAUGAUUUAUCCAACUUACAGACUACUGGACAGCCAUAAAAUGAUAGUUAGACUAAUUUUUGCCAUGCUUUAUCUUUUAAUAUUCUUACGUAAUUCCAUCUCAUUAUUUCAUCUGGCUUUUAUUAAACAGUAAAUAUAAUACUAACUGUAAUUACAAUACUAACUGUAAUUACCAGUGGUUACUUUAACUACCUUUCUGUGUUUUCCUAAUUUUUAUGAUCACCAUGAAUUUCUGUACUGGGGAAAUAAGCAAACUCUUUAUAAGGUGUUGGGACACGUAAAGGACAUUUUCACAGCACUCUGCAAUGUCCUGGCUCCUUGACUGAAAAAAGAAUGAGUUUGCUCAGGCCUCAGCCUCCUGGAGUCCCAGACUGGAGCCAUUGUGGUUAAUAUCUGUAAGUUUGGUUUUUGUUUUUCUCAGGUGCUCCACUGAAGCUCAUCCACACACACACACAAUACACACUGAUGCUUAUAACACACCUGGCCCUGUGUUAAUAAGUAGCCUGGUAUAAACUUGGGAAGCAGAAAGAAGGAAAAAGACUGCAGCAGCAGGCACAAUGUGGCUGAAACCCCUUCCAGGAGAAGAGAGCGAGCGAGAGGGAGGAUUGAGGACAGAUGCAGAGGGCAGAAAGAACUCUUUACGUCUGGCCAAGUAUGGGGCAGCUACACUGAGUCCUUUCUGCCAGAUGAAGGCAGGGAAUAGUCCCAGUCAAAGCAUUGCUGUGAAGUUUCCCUGGUGACUUCAGAGUUUCUGUGUCUACCACCCCCAGCCUGGUUAACACAGCGCUCUGUAAUAAAGUCUAAAAUUCUAAAUGAUAGCAAAGAGCAGCUUGCAUUAUCUUUUCUCCCUGGAGGAUAAAUAGGACCCCUUGCAUCUAGUUGUUUGUAGGUAAGAAGCUGGCAAGAGUCAAGACAGGUAGGACCCUAUAAAGGUUAGGAAGAAAACCACUGCUUCCUCACACACAGCAUGUCCCCAAGCCAGCCAGCCCUGCCUCCCUUCUAGAACCUGCCCCCGAGCUUCCCUGGAGAAGCCCUUCGCCAAGUCUUCCCAUCAGUGAGUUUCAAUCAUCACUGAGGUCUUGGUUCAAAAGUCACACCCUCAGGAAGUCCUUUCUGAGCUCUCCUAAGUAACGAACCUGAUUCCCCUCCACAUUGCAUCUCCAUCUUGCAAUUUCUUCAGAGCACUCACCGUGUCUUAAAUUAUCUAGUUUGUUUAUCUUAUUUAUUUUGAAGCUCCCCUCUAAAAAUAAGUUUAGUGAGGGCAGAGAACCCCCAGUUCAUGUCCACAUUCCUGGUCUGGCCCAUAAUGGGCACUGAACAAAUAUUUCUUGUAGAGGGUGUGGAUUUUGGCAGCAGAAUGUGCCAUGCACUCAGGCUCUGCUGUGCGUCCUCAAUCCUGGCCUUUAAUAGUGCCUCUGUUUCUCCUGGUCUCAACCCUUGCACUCUCUGAGAGGAGAUUGGCCACUUCAGUUUUCUGUCUUGAAGAUUAUGAUACUACACAGAGGCAGGCUAAGUACUAGGAGACCCAGGAUCUGCUUUCAGUUUUUCUAUAUCUCAUUCUAACUGUUACCAGUGGCAAAUCUGUAUGGGUCUGCAGCAACUCAGUUCUUGCCUCCUCAGAAGAAAGAAUUCAACCAAGGGGCAUAAGGCAGAGUGAGAGACCAAGGCAAGUUUUAGAGCAGGAAAGUUUAUUAAAAAGUUUUAGAGCAGGAACAAAAGAAAGUAAGGUACACUUAGAAGAGAGCCAAGCAGGUGACUUGAGAGAUUCAAGUGUGCUGUUUGAUCUUUAACUUGAAGUUUUAUGUAUUGAGAUGCUUCUGGGGUUGUGUUACUUCUCCCCGUUACUUCUUUUGGGGUAGGCUGUCUGCAUGCUCAGUGGCCUGCCAGCACUUGGGAGGGGCUGCAAGCACAGUGUGUUUGCUGAAGUUGUACACAGGCUUAGUUGAGGCAUUUUUCUCAUACCAGUCAGGCGUUCCUAGAAGAAGGUCAUUUACCUGUUAACACUGCCAUUCAGCUCUUAGUGUGCAUGCUUGAGCCCACUCACCCAACUCCUGAGAUCUUAUUGGGAAGCUGCUGGUCAUCAACUUCAGUUGUUUUUCAUCUAUUGGGAGAUACUGUUCCCUGGCACCAGCUGCAGCCAAUUAUUAUUUUAGCAAGACAGAUAACAACCACCUGACCAUAACCUGAUAGUCACCUGACAUUCCUGGGUUGGGCAGGGACCUCUCCUGCCCUGCUCAUGUCUGCCUAACUACCUACUCUAACAUUUCCCCCCUCAAGAGUUCAAGACCCAAUUUGUUGGGAAAGGUCAGUCUUUUGUAACUGCUUCCUGCUGACAGAGAGGUGGUGGUGGUUGUUCUGUGGGUCUUAUUCUCUUGCUAGCUGUUAGGGCAUGGUUGCUUCGUGGGUUAGUGAAAGCAGUAUCCAGCCAGGUCCGAGAGAGACAGGGGCAGGAUUUUGCCUCUGUCGUGUCCCACAGAUGGGCAGUUGAGGGGUCCUCUGUAGAAGUGUGACUCAAAUAUUGAGAGGAUAUUAUCCCUCACUGAGGAUCAUCUGGUGAUUGAUGGCCCAUCCCUCUUGUUUCUUCUGAGCCUCAGCCAUGGAUCACUGGUUGGUUCACAGGAAUAAGCAGAGUCAGUCUAACUUGCAGAGGAAAAAAACUCAAAAACAACUGAUGAGACUAGAAUCAAAUUACAGGUGUACCACAAUUCUCAAGACAUAAUUUUUCUCUUUGCAGUCCUCAUUCUUAUUAAAAACAAAUUAUCACAGGACUGAUUUGUUUCCAAAAUAAACUUCAGUCAUGUUAUACUUGGCCUGUUAUUUGCAUAAAGCACAGCAAGAAUAAUUAUUUGUUACAUAGGUUCCUUUUUAAAUUGGCUUUGAUGGAACUUUGUUCCAUAAGGAAUCUUGGAUAAAACUUUUAAAAGUCUUGAGCCCAGGCAUGGGAUUGUGCCACCAAAUAACUGUAUGAGUUGGAUGAAUUCCUCCCUCUUGAGGUCCCAAGACAACUUGGGGCCCCUGGGCCUGUCAGAACGUGACAUUCUUUACUUACCACAGGUGAGAAAGCCUGCACAGGGAUUGUGUAGACAAGAUGUGGGUCCACUUUUCCCAAGGGGAUUUUAUUGGCUCUCUAAGUUAACAUUGAUUUCUUAAAGGAGUCUGUUUGUAUCCGAAAGCAUGUCAUUCAUUCAAAGCCUUGGGGAAAAUAACCAGUGUCUCCAAUUUUGUCCUGUUACAAAAGAAAACAGCAUGUUAAAGCUAUGUGUAUCAGUUUAUAUGUUUAGUUGUGAGAAGGCCAAUAUUCAUAUCACCUAGCUUUACAAGAAAUGCAGGCCUGAAGAUGAAAAGCAACACAAUUGCUUACAGUUUCUCAGAUCACAAAGCCUUUUAAUCUUACAAAAUAUAAAUCAAUAGAUGAGAAAGAAAAAAACAGAUUAUUGCACUUAUUCAAAUAACUAUACUGAUGUAAGUUAUGAGCACUCACAAAUAAGUUCCAAAUAUUGGAGAAAUCCAGGAGAGAUAAAUGUGCUCCUAAUUUUGUUUAUAGUACACUUUAUUCAAUUGUUAAAAGCUGAAAAGUUUUCUUGGCUUGGAAAAACAAACAAAGGAUUAGCAACAUUUUAAGCAAAAAGUCAUAAAAGUAUUAUUUUAGUCUUAGUUCAGUCCAUGCAAUUAAUUCCUCUUCUCCUUGAUAUUCAUCAAUAUUUUAGCUCUCUGUGAGAGUCCUGAAAAGUUUUCCUCUAUUAUAAUGUCACAAUCUCCAAAGUUAUCAGAAACCUGCAUUUAAGAGCACCUAUUAGAGUCCUAUAGCUGAUUAUAAAACUACAUUUUAAAGGGCAUUGAAACAAAAUAACAAUUGUGGAUGACUAAAUGUCUUUGGACAGCCACAGUUGAAGACACAAUUGACAAGGAAAUUUGUUACCUCUGUGGCACACAAUAAUUUAACAUGACAAUUAUAAUUAUUACUGUAUAGUAAGUCAAACUAGAAUUAUAGGAGUUUUGCAUAAUUUUGAAACACACUGCAAUAACACAUUUAUGCAAAUACAGUCCAAGUAAAGCCAAAUUUUACCUUUGCCUUAGUGUACUAUUGAUGUCAAAUGCAAUUCUUAAUAAAACCUUAUAGAAAAAUUUAUCUAAUGUUAAUCAGUUUGACCAUAAGGUAAGAUUUUCAUUAACCUUUUAUAACCCUUUACAAUUUUCUGUUAAAAAACAGUGCUUUAAGUGCUUUAAGAAAACUGUGCUUUGCUUUUAUUUUAUUAAACUGAAUAAUACGCCUUUAAUUGUAGCCAAUAUAUGCCUAUACAGAAUUUCUUUUACAAGAUUAAUCUUUCACAAACCUUCCAGAACUUGCUUAAACCUUCAGUUUUAUGCUUUCUAACUUC